GAUCAUUAUUGAAGUAAACCUGAUGAGUUGCUGCUGGUUCUCUAGGGAACAUGUGCACACUUGUCAUUUUUAUAUUUCCACCUGUGCACUUUUUGUAGACUUGGAUAUCUUUCUGAAUGCUUUUUGUAGCAUGUCAGGUUUGAGGAUUGACUUUAUUGUCUGUCUUUACAUUUCCAGGUCUAUGUACCUUCAAUAUACCCCUAAUGUAUGUUAUAGAAUGUAGUAAGUGGGCCUUUGUGCCUAUAAACCUUAUACAACUUUCAGCAACGGAUCUCUUGGCUCUCGCAUCGAUGAAGAACGCAGCGAAAUGCGAUAAGUAAUGUGAAUUGCAGAAUUCAGUGAAUCAUCGAAUCUUUGAACGCACCUUGCGCUCCUUGGUAUUCCGAGGAGCAUGCCUGUUUGAGUGUCAUUAAUAUAUCAACUUCUUCAGCUUUUGCUUGUUGAGUGUUGGAUGUGGGGGUUUUGCUGGCCUUUCUGAAGGUCAGCUCCCCUGAAAUGCAUUAGCGGAACAAUUUGUUGACUGUUCAUUGGUGUGAUAAUUAUCUGCGCUAUUGAACUGUGAGGCAAGUUCAGCUUCUAAUAGUCCAUUGACUUGGACAAAUUUU
rnacentral:rRNA from 1 species